AGUGAACGCUGGCGGCAGGCCUAACACAUGCAAGUCGAACGGCAGCACAGAGGAGCUUGCUCCUUGGGUGGCGAGUGGCGGACGGGUGAGGAAUGCGUCGGAAUCUGCCUUUUUGUGGGGGAUAACGUAGGGAAACUUACGCUAAUACCGCAUACGACCUACGGGUGAAAGUGGGGGACCGCAAGGCCUCACGCAGAAAGAUGAGCCGACGCCGGAUUAGCUAGUUGGCGGGGUAAAGGCCCACCAAGGCGACGAUCCGUAGCUGGUCUGAGAGGAUGAUCAGCCACACUGGGACUGAGACACGGCCCAGACUCCUACGGGAGGCAGCAGUGGGGAAUAUUGGACAAUGGGCGCAAGCCUGAUCCAGCCAUGCCGCGUGUGUGAAGAAGGCCUUCGGGUUGUAAAGCACUUUUGUCCGGAAAGAAAUCCUUUCGAUUAAUACUCGGGAGGGAUGACGGUACCGGAAGAAUAAGCACCGGCUAACUUCGUGCCAGCAGCCGCCGUAACAC
rnacentral:rRNA from 1 species